AUUGCUUCUUGGCCUUUUGGCUAAGAUCAAGUGUAGUGUCUGUUCUUAUCAGUUUAAUAUUUGAUAUGUCCUCUAACUGAGGACAAUAUAUUAAAUGGAUUUUUGGAACUAGAAGUUGGAAUAGGAGCUUGCUCCGUUCACUCUACGCAUCGACCUGGUAUUGUAGUACCAAUAAUAAUAAUAAUAAU